ACGAAAGUCUGACGCAGCAACGCCGCGUGAGUGAAGAAGGCCUUCGGGUUGUAAAGCUCUGUCGCCCGGGACGAAAAUUCCGUUAGUGAAUAGCUAACGGAACUGACGGUACCGGGAGAGGAAGCACCGGCUAACUCCGUGCCAGCAGCCGCGGUAAUACGGAGGGUGCAAGCGUUGCUCGGAAUUAUUGGGCGUAAAGGGUAGGUAGGUGGUCUCAUUUGUCUGGGGUGAAAGCCUUGAGCUUAACUCAAGAAGUGCCCCAGAAACGGUGAGACUAGAGUCCUGGAGAGGGUCGUGGAAUUCCCGGUGUAGCGGUGAAAUGCGUAGAGAUCGGGAGGAACACCAGAGGCGAAGGCGGCGACCUGGACAGGAACUGACACUCAACUACGAAAGCGUGGGGAGCAAACAGGAUUAGAUACCCUGGUAGUCCACGCUGUAAACGAUGGGUACUAGGUGUCCGGGGCAUUGACCCCCUGGGUGCCGCAGCUAACGCAUUAAGUGCCCCGCCUGGGGAGUACGGUCGCAAGAUUA
rnacentral:rRNA from 1 species